UACGGAGGAGGCAAGCGUUAUCCGGAAUUAUUGGGCGUAAAGCGUCCGUAGCUGGUUUUGUCAGUCUGCUGUCAAAGCACAGGGCUUAACCCUGUAAAGGCAGUGGAAACUACAAGACUAGAGUGCAGUAGGGGCAGAGGGAAUUCCCAGUGUAGCGGUGAAAUGCGUAGAGAUUGGGAAGAACACCCGUGGCGAAAGCGCUCUGCUGGACUGCAACUGACAUUGAGGGACGAAAGCUAGGGGAGCGAAUGGG
rnacentral:rRNA from 1 species